rnacentral:rRNA from 1 species
GACAGAGGGUGCAACCGUUGUUCGGAAUUACUGGGCGUAAAGCGAGUGUAGGCGGUUUGGUAAGUCGGAUGUGAAAGCCCCGGGCUCAACCCGGGAAGUGCACUCGAUACUGCCAAGCUAGAGUAUCGGAGAGGUUGGUGGAAUUCUCGGUGUAGAGGUGAAAUUCGUAGAUAUCGAGAGGAACACCGGUGGCGAAGGCGGCCAACUGGACGAAUACUGACGCUGAGGCACGAAAGCGUGGGGAUCAAACAGG